rnacentral:rRNA from 1 species
UACAGAGGGUGCGAGCGUUGUCCGGAAUUACUGGGCGUAAAGGGCGCGUAGGUGGCUUGAUAAGUAGGAGGUGAAAUCUCACGGCUCAACCGGGAGGCUGCCUUCUAGACUGUCAGGCUUGAGCAUGGUAGAGGCAGAUGGAAUUCCCGGUGUAGCGGCGGAAUGCGUAGAGAUCGGGAAGAACACCAGUGGCGAAGGCGGUCUGCUGGGCCAUAGCUGACACUGAGGCGCGACAGCGUGGGGAGCAAACAGG